CUUCGAGCUGGGCGUUGCUUUGGCAACGUCGCGGCCUUCGCCCCGCUAUGGCCCGUGAGGGGGGGGGGGGGCGCCUCCCCUCAGCCUCAACCCCGCCAAAACUAAGGGGGAGGUUCCUGUUCCUUUUUAUUGAAAGCCUCAAUUAAAAUUAAUCUGGGAAGGCAAUAAUAAGGAAGGAAAUGAAGGGAUAUAUAAAAAAUGUACGCGUACCGCGGUAUCAUUACUUGUCGGUGGCGAUUAAGGGAGUCCUGCUGUCUGGAAAUUGGCUUUGCCUCCCAGGAAACCUGAGGAAAGCGCUGCCCUAGUUAAUGCUGCUGAAGCUCUUGGGAGAGGCUUGGAAUGAAAUAGAUACAGGUUUUCUUUUGAAAUAUGCUCUUGAAUAAAUUAGUUUGCGUCCAGAAAUGGCAUCUGUUUUCCCUGGCUCAGAUAUUUUUCUAGAAGAAGUGUUUAGGUAUGCAGCUCACACGGAAAGCGGGGCUAAUAUCUGAGCAGCUUUGAAAAUCGGUGCUGUGUUGUUUUGAGUUAGAACAGAAAUGCUGGUUUAAUUCCAAAGUUUAAAUACAGCAAUGCUGUGGGGUCAGUAAGGCCUGGAGAGGGAAAGGAUGGACCCUUAGAUGUAGAUCUUACAAAGUGAAAAAUUAAGUGUUUGGAAGAGUUAAGUGGCCUGGUGUUCAGUGACACCAUCUAACAACAAACCUUCUCUCUUAUUUUCAAGGGAGUAGCUGGAAACACUGGCUGCACCUCUGUGUCUCUUGGAGGUCACUUUCUGAUUUAUCUUCAAUUCACAGCUCAUUAGAAGGUGUGUAACUCUUCAGAGAUGUUGUUAUUUAACAGCUGAAAGUUAUUAUGUAAAAUUACUAAAUUGGAGUCUUUAAAGGAGUUGCCAACUUGCAUUUGCCUGAGUUACUUCAGCAGUGGAGAGGAGAGGAGAGGAAGAAUUCCAGACAUGUCAUCCUGAUUUCACAAGUCUGCAGAGAUCUCCAGAGUGGACUUACCCAUCUGUGAGAGGAGGAAGGCUAUACAUGCAAAUUCAGAUUCCUGAUGCAUUCCCACUAACUCUGCCCUUCUGUUCUGGCAGAAUUAGGAAAAACUGUGGGACCUUGGUAGUGAUACUUUCUUCCUGCUGGCACCCACCAGAGCAGGGUUUUUCUUCACCAAUAAAUCCAAGCUGUGGUGUAUCUUGCCUCUCUCCUCCUCUUUUCCUGCCCUACAGUUUCUUUGGCACAUCCAGGAUUCCCCUGGUUUUGUCCAGCAUCAAUCAUUCAGCCAGGUAAGGGAACAGUUCCUUUGCACUCUCAGUCUUGAUUCACCUGCAAGAUCCCACAUCUUGUUCCUCCUUCAUGCCCAUUUUUUCCUGUACCAAACCUGGUCUUGUUUUGCCUGAGUAAGGCAUUGGCACUUCCAAAAUAACAGAGAAAUGGAUUGAAAUGGACUGAGCUGUGUGGUAAUUUAUAAAACUCUAGUUGUAACUACCUGAGGACAAGUUAACAGAUGAGACCAUUUGAUUCCUCUGACUUCCUGGCACAGCUGUUUGGGAUAUAAAUCCUCACAACAGUUGGUUUCCAAAUCCUUAAUGUGCUGCAUUAGGCAAAAAGUUUCUACAGCCAUAUUGAGGAGAGAAAAAAAUUCAACGAGACACCAGAAUUGUUCAUGUGGUCUUGCAGGUUAAUCCAAAAGCUGGAAAAUAAAGAUGGAAUUGAGUAUUUGGGGGGAACAGAGGAGAGAUCUGAUAGUCUUGGGAAGGCUCUGGUUAUCCUACAAGGGAAUCUGUGGUUUUUACCAUCAGAAUGAGGCACUGACAAUGUCAGAAGGGAGUUUAUUUGCAGUACUUAAUCAUUUAGGAGGUGAUAAAUUGAUUAAAAGGUGAAACCUUAAAACCACACCAUCUGCUGAGACUUAAAUAGCCUUUGCCUUUGGGAACACAGAUUUUUUGGGCAUUUUGGUAUUUUUCAGCACCAUCCACAGCAAUCUUGGCUUUCUGAUCAAGCUCCCAAAAGGGGGGAAAUAUUAAUUUUGAAGCAUAUAAACAACAGUCAUCUCAGCACAACCUGAGGUUGUCUCCUAUCAACUGUGUAAUCUUUAUAUUCUAGAUUAAUAAACACUUCAGCCUUGGAGUUUAUUAGUUCAAAAUAUAUUUAUUACCUCAUAAAUUCAAAUCCCCUCCAGUUACCAUCUAAUUAAACUGCAGUGCUGUGCAUGCUAUCUUUGGGGAUGUAUUAAUAAUGGAAUUAUCUUGUGAAACAGUAAUUACAUACUUUGUGCAUUCUUUGCCACACUCUCUCUUCAGUGUCUGUGUGAUGAGUGGGGCACACAGUGCUCCAUUGUUUGGAGCUCCUCCAAACUCUCUGUGUAUCCAAAGAUAAGCAGAUUUUUUUUCCCUUUAGUAGAAGAGGGAGAAAAGUUUGUGCAUUUUUUGUACUCAGGAAGGACCAAGUUCCAGACUAGGAACAGUUAUGAAACAUGAUUGUGCAAGUGAUUUUAGUUGGUGCUUUCUCCUCACUCUUUGAGGAGAUUACUCUCAGGAGGAAAACCUCCUUGCAGGAUGUUUUGUUCUUACUGCAGCUGCCAAAAGCUGAAGACAACCAUUUUAUCUGCAAGAGAAUAUUCAUUUAUGGGACUUCAGUGGUGACAUAGGUUUGAAAACAGGAAAAGAGGCUUAAAGCCUUCCUCAGGAGAGAGAUUUACUCACAAUUUUCUCCAUGUCAUUCAGGGGCCAAGUUUUCAAGUCUUCCAGAUUUGGACUUGUUUUGAUACCACUGCAAAAUCCUGCAAGAAUUCUGCCAACAGCAAGGCCAAUGUGUUUGAAAGCAGAUGGCAUUUCCAGUGCCUAAAGCCUGGUCAGGUUGAUUGCUUUGAGUCUGUAAGGUCAUCAUGGUUGAAGGCAUGAAGAUGAGGACAUCAAAGCCUUUGCCCACUUCUGACAAUUACUCUGGAGACAAACACACCUCAGAAGACAAAUGUUAUGAGCUACCUGUAAGUUCUGGUUCACAAAACAGAUGAGAAUCCAGAGAUACUUCUGAACUUGGAAAUGAAAUUUAUUCUCAAGGUAAUGGUUGAGCUCAUUAUCUGCUGCUCUUUCUAAAUGUAAAGUAAGGAGUGCAAUGCUCAUCUAUUCUAUCUGUAACAGCUGACAUGUUUUCUGCAUUCCUGUGUUUGCCUAAGAAGUCAUGGAUAAUCAAUUUGAUGUGCAAAAUACACUGCAUGGGUGAAUUCUGAUACAUAUCACUUGGCAUGGCUGUGCUGUUAGGAGAGGCAAAAACUUCCAGGAAGGAAAGAGCAAGGAAAAUCUGCCUGAUAAUUUUCUCAUCAGUUUUCCUCCAAGGACAUAUCUGUAGGUGGAUUCCAUAGACAGUGUUUGGGUUUUUUUCCCUCCCUUGAGUGGCUGGUUCUGUGUGUGUCAGUUAUUUUCUCUUGCUGUAUUAGAAAUCAAAGCUACCUUAUCACUUCAGGAUAAAUAUAUCUAUAUUUAUAUCUCUAUAUCUAUCUCCUAUAAUCCUAACUAGGAAAAACUAACCUGAAACAUUUCAUUUUCAGCCUUUUUUUUUAUUUAAAUAUAUUUUCAAAUUUUUUUUUUAUUCCCUACAUGUAUUACAAAAAAUUUCCCAUCUGAUUGGGAAGCAGAACAGGCAGGAACCAGCAGCAGACAGAUGUGAUUAUACAAGAUGUUCUGUUUGUUGUAAUGAGACUCAUGGUCUUAAUAAAUUCUUAAAAUGUUUUUAACACAACCAAUUUAAGUAAGUUUAAAAUCUGAUUUUCUAGUUUUAACCUUAUCAGUUCACUUUUUGCCUUAUUUUUGAGAACACGCCCCCCCUAAUUUUUUUUUAGUUUUAGGGAAUUUCUCACAAAAUAGAGUAUCUUUAGUUCCAGCAACAAAAAAAGGGAAAUUCAUGUGGAUAAAAAGCAUGAAUGACAAUCCUGAUCAUGUGGAAAAAAUCAAUCUGUGAGCUUAGACAUAGUUCUACAUUAGUCUCCUCCUUUCUUGGAAAUCCAUAUUUUCACCAGAAUCUCCAGCAGCAUUACGUAGCCUGUCAAAAUUUGCUCAUAAUAUUUCAUGUCCUUCUGCUGGAAAGAAACAGCUGGAUAUUUUGUGUCAUGAUGUGACCAAUCCACCUCUGUUGUUGUCAUUUUAAUUGCUGGGGCUGUAUUUUUAAGUCCUCCACAGAAGGUCUUUGUAGUGACAAGCGAAGGGUUCACGCUUCGUAAGCAAACAUAAAGAAUGCUGCUGCUAAUUGGAGAGGGACUAAUGCAGUUAUGAUUCCAUCAACAUUUAAGUUACAUUGGGAAAAGACACGUUUUUUUGUUGUGCUUGUGUUGCCACAGAAAAUUUUUCCUCGGGCUGGAUUUGGUGGGGAAGGUUUUGGAACAGAACAGAUUAGUCUGGAAUUACAGGGAUGGGAGAGAUGGAAGUGAAAUUGUUCUAAGCUACAUCUACAGUAGAGAAAUCAGCAUUUUAUUACUCUUUCUUUGAAAUUGUGGUUAUUAGUUGAUGGCUUGUGAAAUAGCAUGUCUGUAGAAAUGGUAAGAAUGGACAAGCUCAAAAAACUCCCUUUUCCCUGCCCUGAAGAGCUGCAGAGUGUUUCAUGUGGAGGAGGACUCCUCAAAAAUCACCAGUUUCCCAAAGGAAGGAGGUUCUUAUGCAGUAAUUUAGGUCUUUAGGGUAUUUUCCCCUUAAUAUUCUGCCUGUUGUGCCUAUAGACCUCCCAGUUUCUGAAAGUCUGCUGGACCUUGGCUUUUUUCCUAAAUUACACUUGGCUAUGGUUUAACAUUUUACACUUGUGUGCCCUGAGUUCUUUCCCCUUCAUGCUGAUUUAAUGUUUUUUUUCUACUCACAUCUCUCUUCUCAGGUGGAGCCUCAUCUUAAGUAGCCUUGGGGAGGGUCAAAGGUGCUUCCUUUUCCAAUUCACUGCCUGGAUUUUAGAAGAUCCCAAUUUUUAGCAUCUAAACAAGGAAAUCACAGCUAUUUCCAUGGGAAAAUCACAGAGAUGGCAGGGCUUCCCCCCAGAACACUGCCUGUGUAAUUGCUGAAGACAUUCCAAGCCACUCUAACGAAGUGCUGUCUGCCAGUCAUUAUGUUCUCCUUGGAGGACCAUCUGUUGCACUUCAAAUAUGUAAAGGUCUCUAUCAUUUAUUGCUCCAAACAAAUCCAGGCCUUUGUCUGACGUGUUGGAGCUCCUGAAUGGAUUCUAAAGGUGGUUUCAGCCACAAAGGACAGGGUGUUCCCUUUGGUUGUACUCCUUCAGCUCAGAUUUCAGAGCACAAAUAUACUGAUUAAACCAAUAGCUGAAUAUUUUCAAUUUAGUUAGAAAUGGAUUGUAAACAACAACUGAAAAUAUAUGAAAUAUGUUUUCAUUCAGCUGGGAGGACAUUGGAAGAUUUUUGCUUCUGGUGAACAAAUCUUUCCAUUGUAGUGGUAUCCAGAGUUGAUAUAUGCUGAGAUUGGAAUGAAAAUUACCUUUUUUUAACUAAUUUUUUUGAUUAGCUUAUUUGUAUCUGAAACUAGUGAUUCAAAGGAAUAGUAAAAAAUAGAGUCAGCAGCUUGAAAUGCUCAAACCUUCCUUAGCACAUGUCCUUUACAGGGAUGUAAUUCUUGGUUGUACAGUCAUUAUUUAUAGGUUAAUUAGGAUCCUUUCCAUGGGUAAAAUGAGCAAGAUCAGGCAUUAAUAUAUGCUGGUUUUUGUUUUUCCUGCUGCAGAUUUUAAAGAGCUGUACAGUCAGCUUGGAGAACAUGGGCAUUGUCUUUUCACAGUGGAAAAGUUCUGUUCAGAGAUUUCCAGCCAGAGAAAUCCAAAACAAUUUCUCUCUGGUUAGGGAGUGGGCCUAUCUUUUUCCCUUUCUUUUCUUUCCCUUCUCCUUCCUGCACAGCAGCUAAUGUUCUGGUCAGAAGUAAUAAUAUGUUAGAUCUUGAAUGUCAGUAGCCCCAGAGAUCCUGACAAGACUAUUCAUGUGCAUUCAUAUGUCUUAACCAAAGCUGACACUAAAGAGAGCAAGAAUUCUCAUAUUCCUCUUUUUAUUUCUGUGCAUUAAACUCAAAUCUUCUCUUGGAGACCUCUGCUAGAACUGACACAUUCACUAUUAGAAAAAGGCAUUUUAGCAAAGUCUAAACAAAGCAGCUGGACAUCAAUCUGGCUCAGGGCAGAGGCUCCUGUGAGAGCUUGCAGUGCAAAGCUGAACUCUGAUUUACACCUUACAAAUGUUGUGAGAUAAAUACCAAUGGGAAAUAACAUUCCUCCCAAUCUUUCUAAAUUUCAUUUAAAAUUAAGUGAUUAGUUUGUUUGUUUUUUGGUUUGUUUUUUUUUUUUUUUUUUAACUAUAGGACAUGUUCUUAUAGAGAUGUUUGGGUUCUGGUAACUCGAGGCUGUUUUCUGAGAAACACAAACUGAGUGAAUAUUCUGCUCUACUUUUUACUCUGCAUAUAUUUUACACACACUUGUAGGAUGGUGUAUAGCACAUGUUUGGGUAAUUUUGCAGGGAUCUGAUUAAGUUGUUAAAACCAGGUAGGCAAUUUUGCCAGCAAUGAUAUUUUUAAUCUUCUUUUUUAAAAUGGUUUGGUAGUAGUUACUAAGGCAGACUAGGUGGCUCUGGGCAGCUCGCCAUUUUUAGGUAGUUUAAUUUGUUAAAAAUUAUCUUUCUUCCCACCCAAAUCCCCUUGAAACCAUUUGGAGAGGAGAACUGUUGAACAGUUGCCAGUAAUAAGUCCUGCUGAGACCUCUGUAUCCUCCUGACAGAAAUGUUGGUGCCAACUGGAGACUGACUGGCACGAGUUUGAACUCUACACUGCUUGAUAUAUUUACUUCACAUGCACCAAUUACAAUAAUUACCACCUCUGUAGCUGAAGUUUAAGCACUCACUCUGCACUCCAUACCUCAGGUUGUUGGCAGUAUGUUCAAUCCAAUAAUCUCAAUUUUCUUGGAAUAAUUAAGUAGAAAAUAAAUACUUCAAAAAAUUAAGCGA